CCGGUAUUUGGUACCAACGCAGAGAAGUCCCGAAUUUCAGAUGCUAAAAGGGUUGGAUAGGCAAGAGUGACAGAGCACAGAAUGAGAGUGUGUGACAGCAAGAGGAAGGGGAGAGAAAGGAGGGGAGACCGAGCUGAAGAGUGAUUUUUUUUUAAGUAAAAGGAGAGAGCGAGAGAACACGAAAGAGGGAGGGGGGAAGCAGAUUUCUCCAAGCAUCUCUUGAAUGAAAGGUGUAAGGCAUUCAAGCAAAGAAUAAAAAAAAAUAAACAACGGAGAGAAGCUUAAAAAAAUAUCUGAAUGAGCGUGGACAAAAGGAAGGGCUGGUGAUACAUACGGAGACUGGAAUACUGACACAGAAAGAGCGAGAGAAAGCCAGAGGGAGAGGGAGAAAGAGCGAGAGCGAAGGGGAGGGACGUUGGGGACUGAGAUUGUUGUCUGCGUAACGCACACGGCUCAAGGAGAUGCUGUUGUAGACUUGCUCUUCCUCCUUUUUCUCUCUCCACCUCUCAAUUUCUCUUUUCUCCUCAUUUACGGUAAUGGGGAAGUCAGACGGUUGGUCAGCUGGCCCUCAUGUUGCCGCAAGCCCAAAUAUGCCUCUCCUGUGAUGAGCCCACAGCAUGCUGGAUCUCCCCCAGGAUCUCCCACGCCGUAGGAUAAGCACCCUGGAGACAGAGGCGGGGGGGUCAGAAUGGGGACAACCACAGUCAGUAUAGAGGAGGUUCGGGCGCAAGAGGGUAAAGAGGAACAAGAGGAGUCCAUCUUGGCCCUGCUGGGAAUCAUUGGCACCUUUUUGAACCUCUUCGUCAUCGUGUUUGUUUACAUCUACACUACUCUGUGAGAAGGAUCCACGUGGGGUGAGAGCAGGUGGAGGUGAGGGGCAAAGAUAUGACAGAAGGGUUGACACCUCACAGAGAAGAAUUUGGAAGAUGACACUUGGCCGCCCAGGAAGUGACAUUUGCUCUUGAGCUCUGACCCUUUACGUAUAUAUAUAUAAAUCUCAAUGUGAUGGAUGCCUGUUUAACACCGAUUUCAGGACACACUGAGAGCGAUUCUUGGAUUUGUGCUCUUGCAGGACGUGGUCAUGAGACAAGGGACCUUGAGUUUCCCCGGUGGUGGGAAUUACAUCGAGCACUGCCUGUCUUCAAUUGCAAAGACACGUACGCAGAAAGAACCUAUUGGUCACAAGAACUUCACAGGCUGACCGAAUGACUCCUUCAGCACUUAAUCCACCAAUAGAAAGAUUCAUGCAAUAAAAAGGAAAAAUUGGAAUUCUGAAAUAUUUUUCUAUUGAGAACAAAAGAGAGAAUGAGACACUCCGGGACCCAUCUGCAGGUUCGAAAAGCUGGAGCUUGUGGGAACAGGCAGUUCGGUGACAUUUGGACACUUUUUCACUACAGUUCCUCCUCCUUUCUGACUGGUGGCGGGAAGAUAAACAGACAAAUAUGAGUGUGCGUGCGUGUUUUCUGUCUGAUUUGAGUGCAGUGUCAGACACGUUGUUUCGGUGCAAUGGAAAACGCUUUUGUAUCAAUACAUGAAUACAUACUAGAUGUACUGUGCCAUAGGGGAUCUAAUCAAUAAAAUGAUAUUCUAUGGAUUGGGAUGUUGUGAUUGGCAUGCAUGUGUGAGAAAAAUGCUUUGGGUGUAUCGGAUGGUCUUGUUUCAACAAGACUAGAGUUGACCAAUCACGUAUGUGCUGUCCUGCACGUCUUUGGGUGUGAGUCAUGCAUUUGGGUUUUUGAGUGUUAGUAGAGCUCAACGCACCAUAAAUACUGUCAGGUAAAAUAACAAACAGUUUAUUAUUAAGGGAGGAGGAGGUUGCUGCAGAGAUGGUUACUAAGCUUCGAUAUUUUCAUCUAUCUUUCCCAGUGGUUAUGAAGGUGUUUUUAAGCCCUUUGAGUAUGCAGAGGUCAGUUUCCUGUCACAUGUGAUAGUGAGUGUUAGAAAUGGCUGAUGCAUGUGAAUGUACUCUAAACAGCCUCCAACUCACACACACCAACCAACACCAACAAGCCUGAAAAUGUGAUUUUUUUGGCCAAAAAAAGGGUUGUUUCUCUGUGUGAGUGUGUUUGCCCUCUAUCUGAGUGUUCCGAUACGUCACGCUGAAAUGUGCUCCAAAAUAUCUGCCUGCGGAAAUGUUAGCAGGGCUUUACGCUUAGUCUCAGGUCCCUCAAUAAAUUCCAAAGCCACAGGGCACUGCUGUAAUAAAGUCCUACGCUGUAAAUCAGCAUGUACCUGCAGGGCUUAUCAUCAAAAACAAAUCCCCACUACAACGCCUCUGUGUAAACUAGCUCUCAGACCAGAGGGAAACCUCUCUACCUGCACUCAGAUCAGUGUGAACACUUCACACCGGCUCUCAGAUUCAUUUAAACCAUCUAAACAAGUAAUUAGAUUGUGUUUGCAUACAGUUUAAAAGGUCAUUUUCACUCAAUUAUUAGCCUUUUUGUCAUAUAAAUGACUGACUGAAAUUGUACCAUUCUGUUUUUCAAAUUAAUCAGACUACGAUUGCCUUUUGCACCAAAAGAUUGAUGUGACAUGUAUUCACCUCUUUAAAUAUUGAAUUAUGCAUUGGACAAAGAGAUAAAGACCACAAAAAAACCUGCUGUUGCUUAAUUAUAAAUGUAGGCUACAUGUAAACACCCAUAGAGAAGAGACCUUAUAACAAGUCUAAAAUCUGUGUAAACCCUCUCUCAAGAUUAAAUGUAACCCUUUACACCUGCAAGAAGCACCCAGUAUAGCCAUCUUCGCCAAUCCUAAGAGCUUAAUCAAACCUCAGAGUAAUAUAAAUAACGCACUUCCAGCAUUUUGAUGGACAUGGCCUCCUGACACACACAUAUGAAUAAGGAAAUUAUGAUUCAGAUCAGAUAGAGCUUGCAGGCGUAAUGCAGGGGGAUGUGCGUGUUUCCUGGGGUCAACAGUCCUGUGUAAGCCGCCCACGUGAGGUUUACACGUGACACGAUGGUCAAAGACAUAUGAAUCACUGCUUUAUUCUUAUAUCUGCUCUUCACAGGCCAAUAUAUCAACACAGAGACACACAGACUAAACACAAAACAUUACCUUCACCACCUUUCAUACAGGAGCUGUUCCAAACCCCAGUAAACUGCUUCUCGCCCCACAUAAAUAGCAUCCUUACCAUCAUGAUGUUUCAUUGACUUCUACACAGGUUACAACUCAAACAAAUUCUAAUAAGCAUAAUUCAAUCGCCCACCAUCCAUUUUUUUUUGGGGUGCAUCUCAAUGCAUUCUGGGACUGCCUUUUCUGCAAAGGGUAUAAUCAACAGCUCUUUCGGAUUUAGCUAAAACGAUAAUGGCAUAAUUAAAGUGCCUACCUAAAUGUGUAAAACGUCUCCAUGUGCAGACCACUAGAUAAAUAAAGAGAUGGAGAGAACAGAGAGCCAUACUGAAGGGGUGGGAGAAGAGAUGUAGAGAACACAGUGAUAAUUUCUGUUUACACUCAGGGAAAAGACUCUAGCACCUCUAAAACCUGCCCUACUUAAUGACUGCACCACGUCAGCACUGUUUCAAACACACGCUUUACAGCAUAUGUCAGGGGUGCCGUGUGUAGGCGAGUGUGAGAUCCCUGUAAUGAAAACAGCUUUCAAGGGACUAAGAAGUAAACGGAAAUAAACACAACAUAGUGAGCAACUGCAUGUCCUACAGACCCACAUUGAAACAAACGCUUGAUCUUUUGAACAUAAAAAUAAUGCUAAACAGUGAUGAUUUCUUAGCUAGCAUUUUUAAAUGAAUGGAUACAUAAUAGGAAUGUACUGUACCAACAGUAAGAUUUUAGCUGAAGUUUGCAUUUUACGGCCGGAGACAAUUUUUGAAUGCUAUACUAGUUUAUUUAGAUUAAAAAUGAAAAACACUAAUCAAUUAAAAAAAAAAAAAUUAGACAUUACAACAUUAGAAAGUACAGGAUGAAUUUGGACCCAUACAAUGAAAGUCAAUUAGUAAAAUCAAAGUCAGCAGAAAAAAAAUACUAUGUUUACCAAUGUUAUUAAAUUAUUAGUGUUAAAUAUUACAUUUAAGUGAGUGUUAGAUUCUGGAAAAGGUCAUUAUAUAUAUAUAAUUUAUUUUUUAAUUUAUUAUUAUUAUAAAAAAAAAUUUCAAUCACCUUUGCAUAGUUGACAGAGACUGCUCAUUUCUCCUUUGUCUCCUGAAAGAUGCAUUUUAUUAAAUGCUGUUUUCUUAAAUAGUUCCUAUUGCUAUUUUUGCUGUCUAGUUCCAAACCAAAGUGUACAGGUUCAAUUUCACACACUCCCAGCACCUCACAACAACCUCUCCUCCGAUGUAUCAUAGUACUAUCCAAUUCUACCCUCAGAAUAUUCAUAUAAAUCAAAUGCAAAAAAA